AUUGACAAGCACUGCACCGACUGCCGGUGGUGGCUCAGGUUUUGCGAGCACAGUUUGGGUAUCGCAAGUGCCGAACACGUGUCACCUGCACGUGCUCAACCAGAGUUAACGAACGUGAUCACGCAUGCAAUUAUACAGGUGCAGAUUUUCUUCUGAUGUACGCCGUAUUUUAUUCUAAGUUGCGUGGAUUAUGGUGCCUCGGAAUUGCUUGGUUAGCUUCAGCCAUGGAUACAGUUGUAUCUCCAACGUUAUUUUAUUAAAGUUAGCUGUAAUAUACUUGCAAGUAAUAAAAGCAAUGACCGUUUGCUUUAAUGAGCUCGUAACUCUUUUGUUUCUGUUUUAUGUUAUUUGUUUGUUUUUUUUUUAUUUUCUUCGCGCGUGUUUUGGCAUAUACUAUGAUAAUGGGAAAGACAGCUAACGUGCGCAUUGGAGAAAAGGCCGUAAUUGGGGAGGUGGGGAAGAGUAUGUUCGUUGGGUGAGGGGAAGGAGUCUUUUCGGGCCGUGGCCCAUGGUCGUGAUUGAUCGAUCGAAAUGACAACUUUGCCCCCAAGUGUUGAUCUUUUUGUUGGUAACUGGUUGAUUUUGAUGUUGAUUGAGGGUGCUGAAGUCAUUUCCUGUGCGAAAGCGAUUAUUGAGCAUCGGAUGGGAGUCCCCCCAAUUGGAUAUUACAGAUUUUUGGGAUUCAUAAGCUAAGAGGGCUGCUUUUGUGUCACAAGUAUGCAUUGUAUAGAUAAUGGCCUGCCUCUCAAGUCUUAUCUAUUAUACAUAACAUAAGGUGCAUGUUAAUUUUUUCAAGGGGCAGGUAAAGGAAAAGAAAAGAUAUCUUAUUUGAACUUAAGUUGUCAAUUAAAUAAAAUUAUUUAGCCAACAAAAAAAAAAAAUUACAUACAAAAGAGUAAUUAUCUGAUUGACGAUAUUGUUCAUGUUAUAAUCAACAAUAUUACCGUAUGAUGAUAUCUGAAUAACUUAUAAUUUUAAAUUAUUUUAAAAUAAUCAUCGCAAAUGUUCUUACUUGUAUUUAAGAAUGCUAAGAAGAAUAAACUUUGUGGCGUCAACAUAAUAUUUUGUCAUAAUUCAAUAUUUUCCUCAACAAAUAUUGACCUCUCUUUUUCCGUAUAUCACGAAAAAUAGCUCCUCUGCUGGGGAUGCUGCAACCACUCAAUUAGUAGCUCAUCUCAACUGAUAGGCACGCUUUCUCUGUUUUGCUGGCUGCUGGUUUCAGUAAAUUAACUCACGCGACAGAGACCAAAAUUGCGAGAAAUUAAAUUGGUUCUGUUUGCUUUUUUUUUGUGGGUUAGGUUUCGGUGAUGGAAAAGCACGUUACAUAGAGUAGAGUAGUAAUAAUGAUUAAUAAAUUAAAGCUCUGAUUUUUUUGGAACCCUAACCACCGUCACGACAAUUUAUCAUCAUCAUCAUUCAUUAUCAUCAUCUGUGUUUGAUGCUUGCCAAACACGGAUCUCUCUCUAAGAAACGCUUGCUCUAUUUAAAUUAAAUUAAAAGCUUCCAUCAGUUGACUCAUUUUGGCUCGGGAUGUGAUUGCUCGUGCUUUAAAAGUAUUAAGCAAAAUCAUUAGAUUAUAGCAGCACCUGCUCUCUUGCAAUAAAUUAUUAUGCAUAUUAAUUUUCUGUGACUGGAGCCCAUCAAGAUAUGUAGAAGACAGCAUCGGAGGAAAGAAGGAAUGAGAGAGUGCAACAUCCUGACUCGUGAAUGGGAAAUGGUUGGCAAUUAAAAAGAAAAAAAUUGACAAGCACUGCACCGACUGCCGGUGGUGGCUCAGGUUUUGCGAGCACAGUUUGGGUAUCGCAAGUGCCGAACACGUGUCACCUGCACGUGCUCAACCAGAGUUAACGAACGUGAUCACGCAUGCAAUUAUACAGGUGCAGAUUUUCUUCUGAUGUACGCCGUAUUUUAUUCUAAGUUGCGUGGAUUAUGGUGCCUCGGAAUUGCUUGGUUAGCUUCAGAUCUCUCCCCAUUUCAAAUCACUAACGACGUCGUCGUUUCUGUGUACGUUAGGGACGAGUUCGAUUAAGGAUGAAGAAUUGAAAUGAGA
rnacentral:lncRNA from 1 species